CAUCCCUGGUAUCAGGAAAAAACAUUCAUCUGGUGGAUGAAAUGGAGCAAAAACUAGCAAAUGGAACUGAACACAGGCAAAAAGGUGUGAGUGAAAGAAGGCACCCAAGCAUCAUAGGUGCUCCUGGAGCUGGUGUCUUUGCAGGAUGGAUGUGAAUUUGUCAGUUGGUUUUACAUUGUGGAGUAACCUGGACUAAGGGAAAGUCUUACAGCCCUGGAUCAGUAGGUGAAAACAAAGCUAAGCAAUCUAAUUACAGUUUAAAAAUUAACACCUCCGUAGCGAUUCGGAUAAUUUUGGAUGAGAUGAUUCUACAGGCCUUAUUCUUGGGAGGAAGAGGACAGAAAACAGCCACAGAACGAUUUGGUCAUGCACAUCCUGAAGAAGGAAAGAUUUAAAACAGUGAAGGUAUUGAUUGUAUGAAAGGAGUAAAAGGAGAACCUUGAAUGAAUUCUUUCUUCCUUACAUGGACAUUAAAUACAUU